rfam:Chloroflexi bacterium GWC2_70_10 gwc2_scaffold_9384, whole genome shotgun sequence.
GCACAACUUCAUACGCGGGCCGUCAGCGAAGCCGGUGAGAGUCCGGCAGGGUCGCGCCACCGUGAUGGAGCACUGACUCCGAACUCGGGUCGCCUGACGUCCCGCUCGCGGCCAAGACACCUUCGCGUGAAAGGGGUCAGGUCAGG